rnacentral:rRNA from 1 species
AGGACGAACGCUGGCGGCGUGCUUAACACAUGCAAGUCGAGCGGAAAGGCCCUUCGGGGUACUCGAGCGGCGAACGGGUGAGUAACACGUGAGUAACCUGCCCCUAGCUCUGGGAUAGCUCCGGGAAACCGGGAUUAAUACCAGAUACGACCACUUUAGACAUCUGUCGUGGUGGAAAGGAUUCCGGCUAGGGAUGGGCUCGCGGCCUAUCAGCUUGUUGGUGGGGUAACGGCCUACCAAGGCGACGACGGGUAGCCGGCCUGAGAGGGCGACCGGCCACACUGGGACUGAGACACGGCCCAGACUCCUACGGGAGGCAGCAGUGGGAAUAUUGCGCAAUGGGCGAAAGCCUGACGCAGCGACGCCGCGUGGGGGAUGAAGGCCUUCGGGUUCGUAAACCCCUUUCAGCAGGGACGAAGCGAAAGUGACGGUACCUGCAGAAGAAGCGCCGGCUAACUACGCGCCAGCAGCCGC